rnacentral:rRNA from 1 species
CGUACACUCCUACGGGAGGCAGCAGUGAGGAAUAUUGGACAAUGGGUGGAAGCCUGAUCCAGCCAUCCCGCGUGCAGGAAGACGGCCCUAUGGGUUGUAAACUGCUUUUAUCUGGGGAUAAACCUACUUACGUGUAAGUAGCUGAAGGUACCAGAAGAAUAAGCACCGGCUAACUCCGUGCCAGCAGCCGCGGUAAUACGGAGGGUGCAAGCGUUAUCCGGAUUUAUUGGGUUUAAAGGGUCCGUAGGCGGACUGAUAAGUCAGUGGUGAAAUCCGACAGCUUAACUGUCGAACUGCCAUUGAUACUGUUAGUCUUGAGUAAGGUUGAAGUGGCUGGAAUAAGUAGUGUAGCGGUGAAAUGCAUAGAUAUUACUUAGAACACCAAUUGCGAAGGCAGGUCACUAAGUCUUAACUGACGCGGAUGGACGAAAGCGUGGGGAGCGAACAGGAUUAGAAACCCUUGUAGUCCCAUG